rfam:Triticum aestivum genome assembly, contig: Triticum_aestivum_CS42_TGACv1_scaffold_321354_4BL
UUAGUACUCCCUCCGUCCGGAAAUACUUGUCGGAUAAAUGCAUAAAAAUAAAUGUAUCUUAAAACUAAAAUACGUCUAGAUACAUCCAUUCCUCCGACAAGUAUUUUCAGACGGUGGGAGUACUAU